UACGUAGGGUGCAAGCGUUGUCCGGAAUUAUUGGGCGUAAAGAGCUCGUAGGCGGUUCGUCGCGUCGGCUGUGAAAUCCCGAGGCUCAACCUCGGGUCUGCAGUCGAUACGGGCGGACUGGAGUACUGCAGGGGAGACUGGAAUUCCUGGUGUAGCGGUGAAAUGCGCAGAUAUCAGGAGGAACACCUAUGGCGAAGGCAGCUCGCUGGGACGUUACUGACGCUGAGACGCGAAAGCGUGGGGAGCAAACAGG
rnacentral:rRNA from 1 species